GUCUUUUUCCAGGACUUCUAAAUAAACUGACAAGUAAUUUCUAUCUCUCUGCCUUCACACCCUUAAUUAGGCAGAGUUGGACAAGGCAGGACUUGUUUAUUGAGAUAUUGGUCGUGUUGGAAUUGUGUUGCAUCCCUCCUGUCCCUCUUUAGACAGGGUGGGAGUCUCAGGAGAAAACUGCUGGGAGGCUUUUAAACAUUUCAGGGAGACACAAAGAAUCUGCAAGAGCCGCAAAAGAUCAGCAAAGUGCAUGCAGGUUUGGCGCAGGGGGAAGAAGGGCUGUCCAUCCCGUGUGCUGGGCACUGCAGAGCUGGUUGCCUCUGGAAAGCCGGUGGCUGCAGGAGCAAGAGCAGGAGCAGAGCCCUCAUUUGAGCACCAAGAAGUAGGUGGUCCAGCCAGCGAGGAGCAGUGCCCCGAGCAGCACCGUGUAGCUGAACAGCACGAAGGCCAGCAGCUCCCUCAGCACCUUGAGGACGUGGAUGGCGAAGGACUCCGGCAUCGCGCUCUCCGGCAGGUAGGAUCCCUGGGGCUGGAUGCUCCUGCUCCUCCCCGGCCUGUAAGCACAGGGACAGGGUGAGUCUUCCCGAGCAGGGAGACUGUAAUUCACAGUUUCUCCCCAGUGGCUCUGCCGUGGGGAGAAACCCUGUGAUCAGGGGGGUUGAUGUCCACCUGGAAUGUUGUUAGUGUCUGCUGGGACUCGUGUGCCUGUUCAGAGUCCUCCCGAGCUGUGCAGUGUUGAAAGAGAGUUUGGAAUCUGAUCAAAGUCCCCCAGUUAGGACUGUUAACAGAGCAGAUGGAAAUACAGACACAGGCCGUGGGCACGGCUGUGUGGGUGAGGCCAGAGGCUCUUACAGAGUCCAGCUGGCUCCUGGAAUCUUUCCCCUGUGGCAGUGGCUGGGUAUCCAGGAAGCUUCAGGAUCAGAGUGGCCACUGAUGGUGCAGUACCAACAGCGUGUUCUGAUCAAAGUGGUCAAUUCCUCCAAGGAAGCCACCAUUAAUAUUUAAUGCUAUAAUUGCAUCUAAUGGAAAUACUGGCACAAACUGAGCCUUUUGUUUAAGAAUGACGAAAACCGAGGCUUAAAUACAAGUUUGAACAGGCAAAUAUUUAUAUCUCACGUUAAAAAUAACCUUUAAAUGGGAGAUAUAGGGUAAAAUGCUUUAGAAUUCAUCUUAUAGCUUUAUUUUAAAGUCAUACUUACACUUGCUUUGGAAGUAAUUGCUUGAUAGUUUAAAUUUAAAUCCAAACUCUUUCACAAAAGUCGUUGGCUCCUUAGACUUAAAGCUGUGAAGACCCACCUAAAAAAUUCUAUCAUCUCUCCGAUUUACAUGUUCUUUUAAAUUUUGAUCACAACUGUGCCUGCUGAAAAAUAUCUUAUGUGCUCUUGGUCAAGCACAUAAAGGGAGUUUAAAAUGAGACUUAAGAUAAAGCAAACCCAAAAGGAUUAUUUCUCUUCUAAGCGGUCUAAAGGCAGCCAAAGUAAACUGAAUUCUCAUCCUGUCACUUACAAUGUUUUUUAAAGAGGUCUUCUGGUAGAGUUCACUUUUUGCUGUUGUUAAAGAGUUCAGUCAUUUCAUUC
rnacentral:lncRNA from 1 species